AAAAGUCACUUUUACUCAAACCUGAGUGUGAAGAUUUAAGUUAAAAUAUGUAUCAGUGGACUGACUGCUUCGAGGGACAUGAUGGUAUAAGAAAGAAGUGGAGGGAUUUAGAAUCACUGCAUACAACUUCAGAUUCCAUCUGAAAAACCCAGGCUUUAGUUUCAUUGAAGUUUCCUGGAUGAAGUGAGAAUAUUCAGUGUCUAUCUUGAUCUAUUCAGAUAGCAUUUGGGAAAGAACGAACCCUUCUGUAGUAUAGGCGUGGUAGCUGGGAGCAAAAGAAAGUGAUACAUCUAUAGCAUGGCUCAUUCUUCAGAGAAAUUCAUCUGAAGAUGGCUGUAUAACAGACUGUCAUAUAAGGGCCCUUUCCUAUUGCUACUUUCUAGAGUUUCCCCUGCUACUUCUACAGAACAACGUACCCAAAACAGGAAAUAGGUAAGGCUAUCUAAGUGUUCAAAAAUAGUAAUUAGGCCAUAUAGUUUUUCUGAUUAAAAAAAAAUAAAUGAGGGAAAAUGUUGUUGGAAUGGCAUAUGCAUGAAAGUUGAUGU